rnacentral:rRNA from 1 species
CUUUGUGNACUUAUACCUUACUGUUGCCUCGGCGCUAGCUGGUCCUUCGGGGCCCCUCACCCCCGGGUGUUGAGACAGCCCGCCGGCGGCCAACCCAACUCUUGUUUUUACACUGAAACUCUGAGAAUAAAACAUAAAUGAAUCAAAACUUUCAACAACGGAUCUCUUGGUUCUGGCAUCGAUGAAGAACGCAGCGAAAUGCGAUAAGUAAUGUGAAUUGCAGAAUUCAGUGAAUCAUCGAAUCUUUGAACGCACAUUGCGCCCUCUGGUAUUCCGGAGGGCAUGCCUGUUCGAGCGUCAUUUCAACCCUCAAGCCUGGCUUGGUGAUGGGGCACUGCUUCUUACCCAAGGAGCAGGCCCUGAAAUUCAGUGGCGAGCUCGCCAGGACCCCGAGCGCAGUAGUUAAACCCUCGCUCUGGAAGGCCCUGGCGGUGCCCUGCCGUUAAACCCCCAACUUCUGAAAAUUUGACCUCGGAUCAGGUAGGAAUACCCGCUGAACUUAAGCAUAUCAAUAA